UUAUGGACCCACCUGAUCCCAUGCCGAACUCAGAAGUGAAACGUAAUAGCGCCGAUGGUAGUGUGGGGUUUCCCCAUGUGAGAGUAGGACAUCGCUAGGC
rnacentral:rRNA from 1 species